UACGUAGGGGGCGAGCGUUAUCCGGAAUUAUUGGGCGUAAAGCGCCCGCAGGCGGUCUUUUAAGUUUGAGGCGACAAUCACCGGCUUAACCGGUGAACGAUCUCAAAAACUGGCAGACUUGAGAGCGAGAGAGGGACCUGGAACUCCGGGUGGAGUGGUGAAAUGCGUAGAUAUCCGGAAGAACACCAAUGGCGAAGGCACGGUCCUGGCUCGUUUCUGACGCUGAGGGGCGAAAGCCAGGGGAG
rnacentral:rRNA from 1 species